UGGGUGGUAAAUUCCAUCUAAGGCUAAAUAAUUGCAAGAGACCGAUAGCGAACAAGUACCGUGAGGGAAAGAUGAAAAGAACUUUGAAAAGAGAGUUAAACAGUACGUGAAAUUGUUGAAAGGGAAACGAUUGAAGCCAGUCAUGCCGGUGGGAAAUCAGCUUCCGGGGUAACCGGGGAGUGCACUUUCUCGCAGGGCAGGUCAGCGUCAGUUUCGCCAGUCGUAAAAAGUCCGUCGGAAUGUGACUCCUUUCGGAGUGUUAUAGCCAGCGGUCGAUGCGACGAGCGGGAUUGAGGAUUGCAGCGGGUGCCUUUCGGGGCUAAGUGCCUGGCCCUUGUUCGUGGUCGUCUUGGUAACAGCGUGCUGGUGCCGAGCCCGAUCCGCGGACACGGGGUUUAGCGUCACGGUAAACUCGUUAAGGAUGCUGACGUAAUGGCUUUAAACGACCCGUCUUGAAACACGGACCAAGGAGUCUAACAUACGUGCGAGUGUUUGGGCGGAAAACCCAAGCGCGCAAUGAAAGUGAACGUAGGUGGGAGUUCUCUCACGGGAACGCACCAUCGACC
rnacentral:rRNA from 1 species